rnacentral:rRNA from 1 species
AUUGAACGCUGGCGGCAGGCCUAACACAUGCAAGUCGAACGGUAACAGGAAGAAGCUUGCUUCUUUGCUGACGAGUGGCGGACGGGUGAGUAAUGUCUGGGAAACUGGCUGAUGGAGGGGGAUAACUACUGGAAACGGUAGCUAAUACCGCAUAACGUCGCAAGACCAAAGAGGGGGACCUUCGGGCCUCUUGCCAUCGGAUGUGCCCAGAUGGGAUUAGCUAGUAGGUGGGGUAACGGCUCACCUAGGCGACGAUCCCUAGCUGGUCUGAGAGGAUGACCAGCCACACUGGAACUGAGACACGGUCCAGACUCCUACGGGAGGCAGCAGUGGGGAAUAUUGCACAAUGGGCGCAAGCCUGAUGCAGCCAUGCCGCGUGUAUGAAGAAGGCCUUCGGGUUGUAAAGUACUUUCAGCGGGGAGGAAGGGAGUAAAGUUAAUACCUUUGCUCAUUGACGUUACCCGCAGAAGAAGCACCGGCUAACUCCGUG